rnacentral:rRNA from 1 species
UGGGGAAUAUUGCACAAUGGGCGAAAGCCUGAUGCAGCAACGCCGCGUGAGUGAUGAAGGCCUUCGGGUUGUAAAGCCCUGUCUUUUGGGGGCGAUAAUGACGGUACCAAAGGAGGAAGCCACGGCUAACUACGUGCCAGCAGCCGCGGUAAUACGUAGGUGGCAAGCGUUGUCCGGAUUUACUGGGCGUAAAGGAUGCGUAGGCGGAUUUUUAAGUGAGAUGUGAAAUACCCGGGCUUAACUUGGGUGCUGCAUUUCAAACUGGGAAUCUAGAGUGCGGGAGAGGAGAAUGGAAUUCCUAGUGUAGCGGUGAAAUGCGUAGAGAUUAGGAAGAACACCAGUGGCGAAGGCGAUUCUCUGGACCGUAACUGACGCUGAGGCAUGAAAGCGUGGGUAGCAAACAGGAUUAGAUACCCUGGUAGUCCACGCCGUAAACGAUGAGUACUAGGUGUAGGAGGUAUCGACCCCUUCUGUGCCGCAGUUAACACAAUAAGUACUCCGCCUGGGAAGUACGAUCGCAAGAUUAAAACUUAAAUGAAUUGACGGGGUCAUAGCUGUUUUCC